UUCGUUUCUUUUUGUACAAGAUGUUAAGACCAUUAACAAAAGUGGUGAUUGUUUGUGUGGUUGUUUUGUGUCUUACGCAAACAGUAAAAUCGCUUCCAAAGCUUCCAAACUUAUUGUGGCCAUGGGUAACUAAUACACGAAAAGGUGUAACACCAACUGUUGUCGAAUCUGUUGAUUCAUCUGAUUCUUCGUUAGCAACUAUACCAGAUAGCCCAACAAUUGAAAAAAUUCCGCCUGUAGUUGGAAGUACAGCAUUAAAACCUAAAUCGAGCUCUUUUGUUACUCGUUUUACUGGAUAUAUUUAUGAUGUCGCAAAGUUGAUCUUACUUUCUACAUCAUUCUUAGCAUUUUUGUUUUCUACAGUGUUAUACAUAUUUUAUUAAUCAACUAGUGUGAUUUGUGUAGUACCUAUAGGUUGCAUACACAGCACUCAGAAUGGAAAAGUAGUUGAAUAAGUAAAAAUAAUGAAUUUAUUAUAUGGUAAUAAAUAAACAUUGAUUUUGUUGUUAAAACGUCAAAAAA